rnacentral:rRNA from 1 species
CGUAGGGUGCGAGCGUUAUCCGGAAUUAUUGGGCGUAAAGAGCUCGUAGGCGGUUUGUCGCGUCUGUCGUGAAAGUCCGGGGCUUAACCCCGGAUCUGCGGUGGGUACGGGCAGACUAGAGUGCAGUAGGGGAGACUGGAUUCCUGGUGUAGCGGUGGAAUGCGCAGAUAUCAGGAGGAACACCGAUGGCGAAGGCAGGUCUCUGGGCUGUAACUGACGCUGAGGAGCGAAAGCAUGGGGGAGCGAACAGGAUU